rnacentral:snRNA from 1 species
GUGCUCGCUUCAGCAGCACAUAUACUAAAAAAUUGAAACGAUACAGAGAUUAGUAUGGCCCCUGCACAAGGAUGACACGCAAAUUCGUGAAGCGUUCCAUAAAAAA